rnacentral:rRNA from 1 species
UACGGAGGGGACUAGCGUUGUUCGGAAUUACUGGGCGUAAAGCGUAUGCAGGCGGAUCGUUAAGUCGGGGGUGAAAUCCCGAGGCUCAACCUCGGAACUGCCUUCGAUACUGGCGAUCUUGAGUCCGGGAGAGGUGAGUGGAACUCCGAGUGUAGAGGUGAAAUUCGUAGAUAUUCGGAAGAACACCAGUGGCGAAGGCGGCUCACUGGCCCGGUACUGACGCUGAGAUACGAAAGCGUGGGGAGCAAACAGG